rnacentral:rRNA from 1 species
CAGCAGCCACGGUAAUACGGAGGGGGCUAGCGUUGUUCGGAAUUACUGGGCGUAAAGCGUGCGCAGGCGGUUUUGUAAGACAGGCGUGAAAUCCCUGGGCUCAACCUGGGAAUGGCGCUUGUGACUGCAAAGCUAGAGUGCGGCAGAGGGGGAUGGAAUUCCGCGUGUAGCAGUGAAAUGCGUAGAUAUGCGGAGGAACACCGAUGGCGAAGGCAAUCCCCUGGGCCUGCACUGACGCUCAUGCACGAAAGCGUGGGGAGCAAACAGGAUUAGAUACCCCUGUAGUCCCUGUCUCUUAUAC